GCAGAACGCGAAGAACCUUACCAAGGCUUGACAUACACCAGAACACCCUAGAAAUAGGGGACUCUUUGGACACUGGUGAACAGGUGGUGCAUGGUUGUCGUCAGCUCGUGUCGUGAGAUGUUGGGUUAAGUCCCGCAACGAGCGCAACCCUCGUUCUAUGUUGCCAGCACGUAAUGGUGGGAACUCAUGGGAUACUGCCGGGGUCAACUCGGAGGAAGGUGGGGAUGACGUCAAAUCAUCAUGCCCCUUAUGUCUUGGGCUUCACGCAUGCUACAAUGGCCGGUACAAAGGGCUGCAAUACCGUGAGGUGGAGCGAAUCCCAAAAAGCCGGUCCCAGUUCGGAUUGCAGGCUGCAACUCGCCUGCAUGAAGUCGGAAUCGCUAGUAACCGCAGAUCAGCACGCUGCGGUGAAUACGUUCCC
rnacentral:rRNA from 1 species